UAGUUUUUUAUUUGAGCUGAGUCAGUAUUUUAUAAUCUCUCAUCUAACGAUAUCCUAUAGAUAUAGAAAAUGAUUAAUUUUUAAAUGUUUUCAGUCAGGAAUGUCUACAUUUAUGAAGUUAAGGUGAACGUGACGUCAGAUUAAAUAGAUUAAAUUUCACGGAAGUUUGAUUCGUUUGGUCCGGUGAAAAGAGACUCAGUGAUAUUUAACGACCUGACUUUUAAAUAUAUUGCUUUGGUUUUAGUUUUAUUUAAAUUUGAAGAGGAAUAUUUAGACUGGGGGUUACCUGAAACUUUGUUUCUGUCACGUGACCGCGUUGCCAUGGCAGCGCCUCAUGUUGCUAUUCCCGCAGAUCUGCGGUUCGCUUCGCGUUCCUAAAACCUGCGGGGUUUAAAUCUGCUGCUGCUGUGGAGCCGAUCGGUGAAAUAAGAUGCCGCCGAAGAACAGAAACAAGAAGUCCGGGAAGGGGAAGCCCUCCGCGGUGGUGGACGCUCUGUCCACGGAGGAGAUGUCCAAGGACCAGCUGGAAGAGCACGUGGUGCGGCUGCGGGAGGAGCUGGACCGGGAGCGCGAGGAGCGGAGCUACUUCCAGCUGGAGCGCGAUAAGAUCCGCGGCCUGUGGGAAAUCUCCCGGCGGCGGCUGGAGGAGGCGGAGGCGGAGCUGAGGGACAGCGUCCGGCAGAGGGACGAGGCCGCGGAGCGCCACCGUGUGGAGAUAACGGUCUACAAGCAGAAGCUGAAGCACGUCUUGUCCGAGCAGCACGACGCCGUCUGUGAGAUGAAGACGGACGCCAUCUCCUCUUCCUCGCUGAUCCGGGACCGGAACGCCGGGUCGGAGCUGGAUCUGCAGCGGCAGCUCCGGGAUCUGCAGGCGGCCGGCGAGCAGAAGAUGAUCCAGGAGCACGGCGCCGCCAAGGAGCUGCAGCUGAAGCACCAGGCGGAGCUGAUGAGGCUCGGUAACGAGUACGAGCGGCAGAUCCACGAGCUGGAGAUGAGUUUCCACCAGAGGGCGCACUCCCUGAUGCAGGCGGAGGUCAGGAAGCGCAGCGCGGCCGUCAGCGAGGUGGAGCAGAGGAUGAAGAGCCACAUGGAGUCGCUGAUGGAGGAACACGACCGAGUCCUACGCAAAGGAGAGGAAUACUUCUCCCGAAUUCAGAGGAACCAGCAGGAGGAGCUGGACAGGUGGAAGGGCGAGCUGAAGAAGCUGCAGAACCAGAAGCUGCGGUGGGAGAAGAAGAUCUCAGCAGCUCAGCAGGAGAACCAGCGUCUGAAGACGACGCUGCAGGAGGUCCAGCAGAAGCUUCCGGAGCUGCACAGACGGCUACAGGAGCACCAGCACUCCAAGCAGAGGAUGGAGGAGUACCGAGCUCAGCAGAAGCUGGUUGAUCAGGAGCUCAGAGACCUGACGGUGGAACACGAGCUGCUGCUGCAGGCCUUCCACAAGGUGCAGCAGGAGCGUGACGAGCUGCUGAGGAGGCAGACUCAGAGCAUCCUGGACGUCCAGCAGAGGAGCGGCCUGAAGAAGAUCCUGCUGCAGAGGAAGAUGGAGGCGCUGAGCCAGACUCUGGAGAAGAAGGAGGCGCAGCUGAGCGCCGCGCUGUCUGUCUGCAGCGUGGAGCCCACGGCGCGCAGCAACGCCGCCCACAAGCUGCAGGUAAGAGGCCGGAGGGCCGCUCCGCUGGGCGGCACCGGAACUUCUCCACAGGUUCUGAUCAGGAGCAGAAACACCUGGAGGAGUUUAACUCAGGAACAGCUGAUUCAUCCUGAAGGGAAACCAGACGGUUGUUCAGUCAGCUGCCUGAGAUUUUACUUUUACUGGCGCAAAAACACGCUGAAGUAUUUCUACUCUCAGUACUUCCUGUCUGCAGCCUCCAAACACGGCAGCAGUGCUUCUUCAGCUUCCUGUGAACACAAAGCUAGAAUCCGCCCUGCAGGAGAGGAGAAGGUCUGGAAGAAGAGAAAUCUUCAUCCUCCGCACUGAACUCAUCAUUCUGGUUUCUCUGGAAUGUUGGAGGCACAGCAGCAAGGAGUUCGUUAGCUUAGCAACAACCUAGCUGAUGACAUCACAGAGUGUUAGCUUAGCAACUGAACUGAUGACAUCACAGAGUGUUAGCUUAGCAACAACCUAGCUGAUGACAUCACAGAGUGUUAGCUUAGCAACUGAACUGAUGACAUCACAGAGUCGCCACCAGGUCCAUAAUAGUUGAGAAACUCCUCCUCAGAAAACAUGGAGUAAAACUUUAAGCUAACAUUGCUAGAAGCUAGUUAGCAUGUUGCUACAUAAGCUAGCAGAAUGGCCUAAUUCCAGGUUCUGAUGCGAACUAGCAGCUUUCAGGAAGUGAAGGAGUGACUCCGGUUCUCCUGGGAUUAUCUGAGUCUGAAACCUGUUUCCUGUUUCCAGGAGAUCCUGGAGUCCAAACGGACCGCCAUGGAGGCUCUGCAGCUGGACCUGGACCAGGGCGCCCAGCUGCUGCGCCCCCUGCAGGAUGACGUGGAGGUCGCCGUUGUCCCGCCGCUCCGCUCUC